rnacentral:misc_RNA from 1 species
GAUGAAGAACGUAGCGAAAUGCGAUAAGUAAUGUGAAUUGCAGAAUUCAGUGAAUCAUCGAAUCUUUGAACGCACAUUGCGCCCGCCAGUAUUCUGGCGGGCAUGCCUGUUCGAGCGUCAUUUCAACCAUCAAGCCCCAGGCUUGUGUUGGAGCCCUGCGGCUGCCGCAGCCUCCCAAAACCAGUGGCGGGCUCGCUAUCACACCGAGUGCAGUAGUUUACUCUUCGCUCAGGGCGUGUGGCGGGUGCUAGCCGUAAAACCCCCAACUUCUCAAGGUUGACCUCGGAUCAGGUAGGAUUACCCGCUGAACUUAAGCAUAUCAAAAGCGGAGGA